rnacentral:tRNA from 1 species
GUUAAGAUGGCAGAAACGGGUAAUGCUAAAGACCUAAAACCUUUACAUGGAAGUUCAAAUCUUCCUCCUAACU